GUAUUUAUCCUCCUCGCAGCAGCCAUAACCCUGGAAGCAUCAACUCUGCUCUAUGGCGACUUGUUUUCGUUUCUCUUUCUUUUAAGAUUUGAUGAUUGAUUGAUUAAUUAACUUAUUUUUAUUGGUUGUUGUUACUUAGUGCCUCUUUUGAGUAGCCAUAUGAGGAUGAUGAUGAUGAUGAUGUUAAUCAUCAUCAAAUCUAUCUCGUAGCAGGCUUAGUUAGGAGGCCUAAAUUAUCAUGGAUUUCAGUUCUUUACUAGAGCUGUUAUUUGAAGGUGGCAGUGAUGCACUUACAUGGGUUGAUAUUUGCUGGGAGAUGGUUGAUGGUUGUUGCUGCUCUGUUUUUGUUGGACCAUUGACAUCUGUGUUUGUUGAAUAUCUAGAUGAAGAUGUUGUAAUGAAAUCUUUCUUGUACUGAAUAUGUGUUUCCUCUGCAUUUCAUAUUUUUUUGUAAUAAACUAGUUUUAUUUUUGAAUUAAUGACAAUUAUUGUAUACCGAUAAUGAAAUUAAUGUCUUCUUACAAGAUUCCAUUUUA